CCUACGGGCGGCAGCAGUGAGGAAUAUUGGUCAAUGGGCGCGAGCCUGAACCAGCCAAGUAGCGUGAAGGAUGACUGCCCUACGGGUUGUAAACUUCUUUUAUAAAGGAAUAAAGUGAGGCACGUGUGCCUUUUUGUAUGUACUUUAUGAAUAAGGAUCGGCUACCUCCGUGCCAGCAGCCGCGGUAAUCCGGGGGAUCCGGGCUUUAUCCGGAUUUUUUGGGUUUAAAGGGAGCGUAGAUGGGUUGUUAAGUAAGUUGUGAAAGUUUGCGGCUCAACCGUAAAAUUGCAAUUGAUACUGGCAGCCUGGAGUACAGUUGAGGUAGGCGGAAUUCGUGGUGUAGCGGUGAAAUGCUUAGAUAUCACGAAGAACUCCGAUUGCGAAGGCAGCCUACUAAACUGCCACUGACAUUGAUGCUCGAAAGUGUGGGUAUCAAACAGGAUUAGAUACCCCUGUAGUC
rnacentral:rRNA from 1 species